UCGCCGGGCAUUUUCUGGCCAAUUCUCACGAGCAUUCUGCCCAAACAGGGAUCGGUUUGAGCAGAACACUCGUGAGAAUUGGCUGGUGUUGGACAGCCCUGCGGACCGCCCUGUUCCCCGUGGCCGAGGGCCCUUUCUCGCUCAGGGCAUGAUGCGUUGCGGCCAG